UGGAAUCGCUGGCGUGAUUUCGUGCUCAACGAUUUUGCAUUUCGUUUAUAUUUUUUCUCCGAGAAAAACAGGAAAAUGUUGUUUGUUUAUGGAUAAAAUGUUGUUUAAAUCAUGAAGAUAUAGUGUUUCGAAGAGUUGUAUUAUAGCAACAUGAAUAUGGAAGAUUUUAAUCCACGCGUAGAUGAGAGUAAUCUUCAGACAAUAAACUUGUCUUCGUCGGAAGAAGAAUCGGGUGCAUGUGGU